UAGAUGCUUUCAAAAUACAGCCAGCAGAAUUGGCUCUACAUAGGAGCAAAGACUACCCACUCACAGUAACAGGAGGGAAGGUAGAGAAUGUAGGCACAGACACGUGUGAGGCAAAUGGGCUGAUGCCGCUUCGGGAAGUUCUACGUGACUGUUUCUCCUUUCUCUGAGAAAGAGGAAGCAAUGAUGGAAGAAGGGGUGGCAGUUUAAAGAGAGGAAAAUACAUGAAAUACUUCCUUAGGAAAGCUGGAGAGUGACUAGAUCAGGGGGAUGACUCCUGAGCAGUUCCAAGAGUCUGUUCCAGUUGAGGAGUCAUGAACAUAAAGUCAUCCCGGUCAGCACAGCUGUGUGUUUACCUCCAACCAGGUUCAGCUGGUCAGAAGCAGCCUGGGAGAAGUGAAGGGGUGGCUCUCACUGAGAUUGGAGUUUUCAAGGAACAUUCAAUCCAAGGGCCCUGUGAACCCGGUGGUUCUGCCCUGAUCUGCCCUGCUUCCUUUUUCCCACUCAAAGCACUACCAAGAUAAGGAAACGAGCCAGAGAAACAUGUUAAAUGACACUGUGGAGGUGGAUGCAACUAACCAAGUUCAGAAUGUGGAAAAGAUGAAAAGGCAAUGACCUUCAAUAAACCAAUUGCAGAGAACACACAAAAAUGGAGGCAAUAUAGAUUAAAAGAGAUCAAGAGAUGUACCAAACCAAUUCUUUGCUAUUUCUUCCAUUGAGAGUUGGAUUCUAAUUUCCCUCCCCUUGAAUCUGAGCUGGCCUUAGUGACUUGCUUGACCAGUAGAAUGUAGUGAAAAUGACAUCCUGGGAAUUCUGGGACUAUUUCAUAAGAAGCCUGGGAGUUGCCAGAUGGGGCCACUUGCAGCACUGUCUCUGGGAUUCCUGAGCCUCCAUGUAGGAAGUCUAAGUACCCUUAGAUCGGUAUGUUACAGAGGCCAGAAUAUAUAGGCACAGGUGCAGUCAUAUGAAUGACACCAUCCUGGAUCCUCCAGACCAACCAUAGUCGAUGUGGAAUGGACCAGAAGGAUUACUCAGCCAAGGAUUGCUCAAAUUACUAAUCUAUAAUAUGAUAAGGAAACUGAGCCUCAGGAAGAUGAACUGACUCAUCAAAGAACCCACUAGCAAGUGAAAGGCCAGAAUUUGAACCUGUCCUCAUCUAACUCCAAAACAGCUCUGAGCUUAAAACUCCAAAGGUCUGGAAAUGAAGAGACUUUUACACAUGACACCCUUAAUAUUCUAUUUAUUUUGAAUAUGAUUAUGUUAGGGCUUAGUUAACUCUCUGCAGAUUAAGAGAGAUUUUUCAGACUAAAGAUAACAAUUAAAUGUAAAGUCCUAUGCAAUCUGUGUCUGGGGAUUUGUAAGACCUGCUCAGUUUAAAGGUGGUGAAAAAAAGAGUGUUCUUAGCUGCCAGACAUGGAGGCCUAUGGAAUGGUCCUGUCAAAAAGGGGAAGGUAAGUGCUAACAUCCACAUCUGACAGGUGAGAAACACAACUCAAUAACAGGCUCACACAAUUUUCUUAGUGCAAAUGUCACCAAGAGUAAAACAGAUAGUCCAGUGAUCAAAGACAAAAUCCUGUGUGUAACUCUAAUGAAAGGUACAUUAUAAUUGAGCCACCUUAAUUUAAAAAAAUAAAAAGUUUGAUUCAGCUAUGUUGGCUUAGGAAGUGUCUACUUCAUCUCCUAAAUGGAGAGUGCUCAUCUGGGUUCUCUUCUUUGAUAAGUCUGUGCCUUCAGGGUGCUCAAAAAUCAUUUUGCUACAUCCUGAAAAAUGAGGCUUAAAGAAAAGAGUUUUAUAAGAGAUGGUCUGCAUCUCCCUGAGGCAGACUCUGCAUCUAAACUAUCAUAACUUACUUAUUUGUUUAUUUUUAAAGAUUUAUUCAUUUAU